UAGGGAAUCUUCCGCAAUGGGCGAAAGCCUGACGGAGCAACGCCGCGUGAGUGAAGAAGGUUUUCGGAUCGUAAAGCUCUGUUGUUAAGGAAGAACGAGUGUGAGAAUGGAAAGUUCAUACUGUGACGGUACUUAACCAGAAAGGACCGGCUAAUUACGUGCCAGCAGCCGCGGUAAUACGUAAGGUCCGAGCGUUGUCCGGAAUCAUUGGGCGUAAAGGGUACGUAGGCGGGUAAGCAAGUUAGAAGUGAAAUCCUGUAGCUCAACUACAGUAAGCUUUUAAAACUGCUCAUCUUGAGAUAUGGAAGGGAAAGUGGAAUUCCUAGUGUAACGGUGAAAUGCGCAGAUAUUAGGAGGAAUACCGGUGGCGAAGGCGACUUUCUGGCCAUAAUCUGACGCUGAGGUACGAAAGCGUGGGUAGCAAACAGG
rnacentral:rRNA from 1 species